CCAGAGAUUUACAUGCGGGUAAUAUUUGCCAACUUUUACAUAAGUUGUUGUCUUUGCUUUGUUCUUGUUUUCUCUGUUUUGCAACUUCUGGUGUGUCUCUCUCUGUUUUUCGGUUUCCCUUUGAGAACUUUUAAAAAUCAGACUCUCUCUGACACGUUUCCCUAUGCAGACUGUGUGGAAUGUCCCUGGCCGUGCUUCCGGCGUGAAUCCCCCGGCGUUUGCUUCUGGUGAACCUCCCCCAACCCUUCCUCAUGACCCUCCUGACCCUACCUCUCCUCUCUCGCCAGUAAACUUCCCCACCCUUACUGAAACCACCACAAACACUGUCCUCUACGGCUCUUCUCGAAAGGGAACCCGUACGGAAUCUAGAUCUUCCCACUUAACUGCCUCCUCUACUGAUAAGAGGAAGGUCGCAACUACUAGCUCUGAAACCACUUCAAUGGAGAUUGAGCUAGAAACCCAAACCUUAUCCAUUAAUGCAACUAUUCCUGAAAAUAGAUCUGAAACUGCUACAGUACAAUCUACAAAUUCUGAAACUAACCUUAUCCAAAACCUUACCAUCAUCCCUCCGAAGAAUUCAUCACCUAUCCAAACUAACAAAGCCUCUUCAGCAACUCUUCCCUCCUUUCCUCCUCCCCUCCUUCCGCCCCAUGUGCCUGUCAACUCGAAACCUGUCUCAUCAACUUCAGGACUGGCUGAGAAACCAACUCAGAACCAAACACUUGUGGAAAAAUUGAGAGCUUCCGUAGACAACACAUUGAGGCGUCUCGCUCCUAUCACGAUAGCUCCCUCUGGUCGUCCAAGAGUAGUCAUUCCUGACACUGUGUUGAAAAAAGGUGCAGAAAUACACAAAGACUUCAUCAUAUGCUACUUCAAUGGGAAGUCUCCACCCUAUAAUCAAAUACAAAGUGUGUUUAAUUAUAUGUGGGGAAAAGGAAAGAAGCUAGAGAUCCACAACAACCCAUUAAACCAUUCAGUGAUAGUGAGAAUACAAAGUGAAUACCUCAGGAACAAGAUACUGGGGAAAAGCAUAUGGUAUGUUGGAGACUCAAUGUUUCACACUGCUCAGUGGAACUCUAAUCACUCGAUGAUGACCCCUCCGCUGAAAGCUAUCAAGAUUUGGGCACAUCUAACGGGUGUUCUACUAGACCUUCGUUAUGAUGAGGGACUGAGCCUUGUGGCGGGACUAGUGGGAGAGCCAAAAGAGACCAACGAUUUCACAAAAAAUAUGGUCAGUCUUACAGUAUCUCACGUCAAGGUUGAAGUAGACUUAACGGUACCAUUACCUCCGGUGGUGGAAUAUGAGAGGGAGAAUAGACAAGUGGUUGAAGUCUUGGUUCAUUACCCAUGGGUUCUUCCAACUUGCUCACACUGUCAAGAACUGGGUCAUAUAGUGAGGAACUGUCUCAGCUACACCCCCCUCCUGCUCCUGAAACUGGAAAAGAAAAAGCCUCUUACUCUAUGGCUAAGGAAACAGCUAGCACAAGCGAAAACAACCCAAAAACCCCUCAAAAACCUCAUCAUAAAUCCCAAGCCCCCAAUCUACUUUCACCCCUGCGAAAACCUCUACAAAACAACACAAAAAAUACCAACCUGCUUUACUGCCU
rnacentral:lncRNA from 1 species